CUUCUCAAUUCCACCAUGUCAUUAAAAAUUCACAAUAUUAGGUGAAGACCCUUAGCCCCCAGGGCACAGGCAUGACAUCAUCAAGGAUAGCGGCACAAAGGGGAAUCCCACAAUCAAGUUAUGCCAAACAAUUUCCUUUAAAAAUUCUGCAGAAGAACAUCUUUAAAGAUGGCAGAAGGGCAAGAGCUGUGGAAGU